GAUGAAGAACGCAGCGAAAUGCGAUACGUAAUGUGAAUUGCAGAAUUCAGUGAAUCAUCGAGUCUUUGAACGCACAUUGCGCCCCCUGGUAUUCCGGGGGGCAUGCCUGUCCGAGCGUCAUUGCUGCCCUCAAGCACGGCUUGUGUGUUGGGCCUCCGUCCUCCUCCCGGGGGACGGGCCCGAAAGGCAGCGGCGGCACCGCGUCCGGUCCUCGAGCGUAUGGGGCUUCGUCACCCGCUCUUGUAGGCCCGGCCGGCGCUUGCCGACACAUCAAUCUUUUUUCCAGGUUGACCUCGGAUCAGGUAGGGAUACCCGCUGAACUUAAGCAUAUCAAUAACGGAGGA
rnacentral:misc_RNA from 1 species